rnacentral:rRNA from 1 species
ACGAACGCUGGCGGCGUGCUUAACACAUGCCAGUCGAACGGAAAGGCCCUGCUUUUGUGGGGUGCUCGAGUGGCGAACGGGUGAGUAACACGUGAGUAACCUGCCCUUGACUUUGGGAUAACAUCAGGAAACUGGGGCGAAUACCGGAUAGGAGCUCCUGCUGCAUGGUGGGGGUUGGAAAGUUUCGGCGGUUGGGGAUGGACUCGCGGCUUAUCAGCUUGUUGGUGGGGUAGUGGCUUACCAAGGCUUUGACGGGUAGCCGGCCUGAGAGGGUGACCGGCCACAUUGGGACUGAGAUACGGCCCAGACUCCUACGGGAGGCAGCAGUGGGGAAUAUUGCACAAUGGGCGGAAGCCUGAUGCAGCAACGCCGCGUGCGGGAUGACGGCCUUCGGGUUGUAAACCGCUUUCGCCUGUGACGAAGCGUGAGUGACGGUAAUGGGUAAAGAAGCACCGGCUAACUACGUG